UGGGUUGUUUUAGAAUUUUUAUU
rnacentral:piRNA from 1 species